rnacentral:rRNA from 1 species
UACAUGCAAGUCGUACGCACUGCCCCAACUGAUUGAUGGUGCUUGCACCUGAUUGACGUUGGAUCACCAGUGAGUGGCGGACGGGUGAGUAACACGUAGGUAACCUGCCCCGGAGCGGGGGAUAACAUUUGGAAACAGAUGCUAAUACCGCAUAACAACAAAAGCCACAUGGCUUUUGUUUGAAAGAUGGCUUUGGCUAUCACUCUGGGAUGGACCUGCGGUGCAUUAGCUAGUUGGUAAGGUAACGGCUUACCAAGGCGAUGAUGCAUAGUCGAGUUGAGAGACUGAUCGGCCACAAUGGAACUGAGACACGGUCCAUACUCCUACGGGAGGCAGCAGUAGGGAAUCUUCCACAAUGGGCGCAAGCCUGAUGGAGCAACACCGCGUGAGUGAAGAAGGGUUUCGGCUCGUAAAGCUCUGUUGUUGGAGAAGAACGUGCGUGAGAGUAACUGUUCACGCAGUGACGGUAUCCAACCAGAAAGUCACGGCUAACUACGUGCCAGCAGCCGCGGUAAUACGUAGGUGGCAAGCGUUAUCCGGAUUUAUUGGGCGUAAAGCGAGCGCAGGCGGUUGCUUAGGUCUGAUGUGAAAGCCUUCGGCUUAACCGAAGAAGUGCAUCGGAAACCGGGCGACUUGAGUGCAGAAGAGGACAGUGGAACUCCAUGUGUAGCGGUGGAAUGCGUAGAUAUAUGGAAGAACACCAGUGGCGAAGGCGGCUGUCUGGUCUGCAACUGACGCUGAGGCUCGAAAGCAUGGGUAGCGAACAGGAUUAGAUACCCUGGUAGUCCAUGCCGUAAACGAUGAGUGCUAGGUGUUGGAGGGUUUCCGCCCUUCAGUGCCGGAGCUAACGCAUUAAGCACUCCGCCUGGGGAGUACGACCGCAAGGUUGAAACUCAAAGGAAUUGACGGGGGCCCGCACAAGCGGUGGAGCAUGUGGUUUAAUUCGAAGCUACGCGAAGAACCUUACCAGGUCUUGACAUCUUGCGCUAACCUUAGAGAUAAGGCGUUCCCUUCGGGGACGCAAUGACAGGUGGUGCAUGGUCGUCGUCAGCUCGUGUCGUGAGAUGUUGGGUUAAGUCCCGCAACGAGCGCAACCCUUGUUACUAGUUGCCAGCAUUAAGUUGGGCACUCUAGUGAGACUGCCGGUGACAAACCGGAGGAAGGUGGGGACGACGUCAGAUCAUCAUGCCCCUUAUGACCUGGGCUACACACGUGCUACAAUGGACGGUACAACGAGUCGCAAGCUCGCGAGAGUAAGCUAAUCUCUUAAAGCCGUUCUCAGUUCGGACUGUAGGCUGCAACUCGCCUACACGAAGUCGGAAUCGCUAGUAAUCGCGGAUCAGCAUGCCGCGGUGAAUACGUUCCCGGGCCUUGCACACACCGCCCGUCA